rnacentral:rRNA from 1 species
GUAGGUGGCAAGCGUUGUCCGGAUUUAUUGGGUUUAAAGGGUGCGUAGGCGGUCUUUUAAGUCAGUGGUGAAAUACUUCAGCUUAACUGGAGAGGUGCCAUUGAUACUGGAGGACUUGAGUACUGAUGAGGUAGGCGGAAUGGACGGUGUAGCGGUGAAAUGCUUAGAUAUCGUCCAGAACACCGAUAGCGAAGGCAGCUUACUAAGGAGUAACUGACGCUGAGGCACGAAAGUGUGGGGAUCAAACAGGAUUAGAUACCCUGGUAGUCCACACUGUAAACGAUGAUUACUCGAUGUUGGCGAUACACAGCCAGCGUCUUAGCAAAAGCGAUAAGUAAUCCACCUGGGGAGUACGCCGGCAACGGUG